rnacentral:tRNA from 1 species
GCCCCCGUAGCUCAGUGGAUAGAGCGAUCCCCUCCUAAGGGAUAGGUCACACGUUCGAUUCGUGUCGGGGGCACCA